rnacentral:rRNA from 1 species
AGAAUCAACGCUGGCGGCGUGCCUAACACAUGCAAGUCGCACGAGAAAGGGGAGCAAUCCCUGAGUAAAGUGGCGCACGGGUGAGUAACACGUGAAUAAUCUACCUCCGAGUGGGGAAUAACUGAGAGAAAUCUUAGCUAAUACCGCAUAACACUUACGAGUCAAAGCAGCAAUGCGCUUGGAGAGGAGUUCGCGGCCGAUUAGUUAGUUGGCGGGGUAAUGGCCCACCAAGACGAUGAUCGGUAUCCGGCCUGAGAGGGCGCACGGACACACUGGAACUGAAACACGGUCCAGACUCCUACGGGAGGCAGCAGUGGGGAAUUUUGCGCAAUGGGGGAAACCCUGACGCAGCAACGCCGCGUGGAGGAUGAAGCCCCUUGGGGUGUAAACUCCUUUCGAUCGGGAAGAUAAUGACGGUACCGAUAUAAGAAGCCCCGGACUAACUUCGCGCCAGCAGCCGC